AUGACUUCUCAUACUGAGAAAUCACAUAUUGAAUAUGAAGAGCGUUUGAGGGCUAUUGUAGGUGUGGUAAGGUUUCUUGUCACUCAAGGCCUAGCUUUUCGUGGGCACGAUGAGACUACCACUUCCAUGAGCAAGGGUAAUUUCCUUGAGAUGUUGGAUUGGUAUGCUGAAAGAUGCAAAGAUGUAGCCGAUGUGGUCCAUAAAAAUGCUCCUGGCAAUCAUCAAUUGACUUUUCAUAAAUUCCAAAAACAAAUAGUACAAGCAUGUGCCGAACUGACUACAAAAGUGAUAAUGAAUGAGCUUGGUGAUAGUAAUUUCUCUCUACUUGUUGAUGAGUCUCAUGAUGUAUCGGUUAGAGAGCAAAUGGCUGUGAUUGUGAGGUUCACGAACCAAAAAGGGGAGUCUUUGGAAAGAUUGCUUGGUGUUAAACAUGUUCUUGAUACUACAUCCGCUUCUUUGAAAAGAUCUUUGCAUGCAAUGUUUGUUAAACAUAAUUUAUCCAUGUCUAGUUUGAGAGGACAAGGAUAUGAUGGGGCCUCAAAUAUGCGUGGAGAACUUAAUGGUUUGAAGAAAUUGGUGCUAGAUGUCAAUCCGUAUGCUUUUUAUGUGCAUUGUUUUGCCCACCAACUUCAAUUGGUAGUUGUUGCUGUUGUCAAGGGAGUCCUAGCUGCUAGUGAUUUCUUUGGACAUACAAAUAAUAUUGUCAACAUGGUAAGUGCCUCGUGUAAAAGAAAAGAUGCAUUGUUGCAGAAGUAUCAUGACAACCAGGUUUUACAAUUAGAGCAUGGGGAGAUUUUGUCAGGAAAAGGCCAGCAUCAAGAGACAAGUUUAGCAAGACCUGGUGAUACACGAUGGGGGUCACACCACAAGACUCUAAUCCGGAUAUAUCAAAUGUGGGAUUCCGUGGUUGAAGUGCUACAUGGUAUUUCUCUUGAUGGAGCAGAUGCUGAUGAUAGAGGUUUGGCUUCUGGCUUUAUGAUAAACAUGGCAACAUUUGAAUUUGUUCUUAUCUUGCAUUUGAUGCUUCGAGUGCUUGGUUUAACCAAUGAUUUGUCACAAGCAUUGCAACAAAAAGAUUAG
rnacentral:rRNA from 1 species